UGUACAUUGAUACAUGGCAUUAUGUCUUGUCAUGUACAAAUAAAACGGGAGGAAGAAAACAUCCUAGACAGGCAAGGUUGAAGCAAGAAGACUUGUGGAUAACAUCAAUAUUGAUUAUUUAAUACUGUAACAUUUUACUUGAGUUGCAUGUAUGUUUUAUUCAACUGAGAUUUCAAAAGUUUCUUAAAGAAAAAAUUAUAUUUUCCUGACUGCUCAUACAUGUAUAUUUCAUUGGUAUCAUGAUGGAUUUAAAUGUUUUGAAAUUUUUGUUUAUAUCAUGAUGUUUUUAUAGUUAUACAUGUGUAUUUAAAAAAAAAAAAAAGAAAGAUUAUUAUAAAAUGAAAAUUCAGCUUAAAAUUAUAAGCUGAAUCAUUUUGCUUAAUGUCCAAUCAACAAGAUAUUACUAAUUUCAAACUGUUCUUCACUUGUAAAUAAUUAAUUUUGUUUUGAGAGAGAGAGAGAGAGAGAGAGAGAGAGAGAGAGAGAGAGAGAGAUUAUUAUAUGUUUGCAGAUUCUGAUUAUAUCAUAAUAAAAGCUCAGAUUAGCUCAGU
rnacentral:misc_RNA from 1 species